rnacentral:rRNA from 1 species
AUUGAACGCUGGCGGCAUGCCUUACACAUGCAAGUCGAACGGCAGCACGGGAGCAAUCCUGGUGGCGAGUGGCGAACGGGUGAGUAAUACAUCGGAACGUGCCCAGUCGUGGGGAUAACGUAGCGAAAGCUACGCUAAUACCGCAUACGAUCUAUGGAUGAAAGCGGGGGAUCGCAAGACCUCGCGCGAUUGGAGCGGCCGAUAUCAGAUUAGGUAGUUGGUGAGGUAAAGGCUCACCAAGCCGACGAUCUGUAGCUGGUCUGAGAGGACGACCAGCCACACUGGGACUGAGACACGGCCCAGACUCCUACGGGAGGCAGCAGUGGGGAAUUUUGGACAAUGGCGCAAGCCUGAUCCAGCAAUGCCGCGUGCAGGAUGAAGGCC